rnacentral:rRNA from 1 species
AUUGAACGCUGGCGGUAUGCUUUACACAUGCAAGUCGAACGGCAGCACGGGAGCAAUCCUGGUGGCGAGUGGCGAACGGGUGAGUAAUAUAUCGGAACGUGUCCAGCAGUGGGGGAUAGCCCGGCGAAAGCCGGAUUAAUACCGCAUACGACCUACGGGGGAAAGCGGGGGAUCGCAAGACCUCGCGCUCUUGGAGCGGCCGAUAUCAGAUUAGGGAGUUGGUGGGGUAAAAGCCUACCAAGCCUGCGAUCUGUAGCUGGUCUGAGAGGACGACCAGCCACACUGGGGAUGGGAGACGGCCCAGACUCCUUCGGGAGGCAGCAGUGGGGAAGUUUGGGCAAUGGGGGCAACCCUGUUCCAGCCAUACCGCGAGCAGGAAGAAGGCCUUCGGGUUGUAAACUGCUUUUGUCAGAGAAGAAAUCUUUUGGGCUAAUACCUCGGAAGGAUGACGGUAUCUGAAGAAUAAGCACCGGCUAACUACGUGCCAGCCGCCGCAGUAACAC